GCCCAAUUGCGGGUGCUAAUAAUGCAAGUCGAGCGGACAGAUGGGAGCUUGCUCCCUGAUGUUAGCGGCGGACGGGUGAGUAACACGUGGGUAACCUGCCUGUAAGACUGGGAUAACUCCGGGAAACCGGGGCUAAUACCGGAUGGUUGUCUGAACCGCAUGGUUCAGACAUAAAAGGUGGCUUCGGCUACCACUUACAGAUGGACCCGCGGCGCAUUAGCUAGUUGGUGAGGUAACGGCUCACCAAGGCGACGAUGCGUAGCCGACCUGAGAGGGUGAUCGGCCACACUGGGACUGAGACACGGCCCAGACUCCUACGGGAGGCAGCAGUAGGGAAUCUUCCGCAAUGGACGAAAGUCUGACGGAGCAACGCCGCGUGAGUGAUGAAGGUUUUCGGAUCGUAAAGCUCUGUUGUUAGGGAAGAACAAGUGCCGUUCAAAUAGGGCGGCACCUUGACGGUACCUAACCAGAAAGCCACGGCUAACUACGUGCCAGCAGCCGCGGUAAUACGUAGGUGGCAAGCGUUGUCCGGAAUUAUUGGGCGUAAAGGGCUCGCAGGCGGUUUCUUAAGUCUGAUGUGAAAGCCCCCGGCUCAACCGGGGAGGGUCAUUGGAAACUGGGGAACUUGAGUGCAGAAGAGGAGAGUGGAAUUCCACGUGUAGCGGUGAAAUGCGUAGAGAUGUGGAGGAACACCAGUGGCGAAGGCGACUCUCUGGUCUGUAACUGACGCUGAGGAGCGAAAGCGUGGGGAGCGAACAGGAUUAGAUACCCUGGUAGUCCACGCCGUAAACGAUGAGUGC
rnacentral:rRNA from 1 species